rnacentral:rRNA from 1 species
UACGUAGGGGGCGAGCGUUGUCCGGAUUUAUUGGGCGUAAAGGGCGUGUAGGCGGUCUCUUAAGUCAGGGGUGAAACCCCGGAGCUCAACUCCGGGCCUGCCUCUGAAACUGAGGGACUUGAGUACUCUAGAGGGUAGUGGAAUUGCCGGUGUAGCAGUGAAAUGCGUAGAGAUCGGCAGGAACACCAGUGGCGAAGGCGACUGCCUGGGGAGAAACUGACGCUGAGGCGCGAAAGCGUGGGGAGCGAACAGG